rnacentral:tRNA from 1 species
GAGGGUACAGCUCAGUGGUAGAGCGUGUGCUUAGCAUGCAUGAGGUCCUGGAUUCAAUUUCCAGUACCGCUG